AACUACCUACCCAAAAUGGAUCGAACUCAUCAAUGGUGACACUUAUAAGAUCAUAUUUGAUAUUCCUGAAAACAUCAACUACGAAAUUACGAAGAACACAGAGGCCUUCCUAGUUUAUGCCAGGGGAAAAUGGAAUUGUCACACUGCCGGAUCACCAAUGCACAUGUACAACAGCCGUAACAAUGGCGGGAGUGGCGAUACCAACAACAAGAAGGU